UGAGUGUGGCCUCUCAGUGGAAUGUCUCAC
rnacentral:piRNA from 1 species